CGACUCUCGGCAGCGGAUAUCUCGGCUCACGCAUCGAUGAAGAACGUAGCAAAAUGCGAUACUUGGUGUGAAUUGCAGAAUCCCGUGAACCAUCGAGUUUUUGAACGCAAGUUGCGCCCGAAGCCAUUCGGUUGAGGGCACGUCUGCCUGGGCGUCACG
rnacentral:rRNA from 1 species